GGGCUCCCUGUAAUUGAGCUUCAGAAGGCAGAGAGGAAAUCUCCCUAGCGCGCUGGCUGGCAAGAGUAGCUGUACUGAGGAGCUCUGAGGCUGACAGGAAGACCCCGCCUUGCUGAAUCAGGCAGAAGAGCGGCUGAGGCCGAUGCCUGUCAUCAACCCCACCCUCUACAUGCUUGUGCACACACAUGCAUAGCACGUGUACACAGCACAGAAUGGGACAAAUAAAAAUGAUUUUGUUCCUCUGUGGAAAACGUAGAGAGAGAAGUGAUGGUAUUUAUUGGAGGGAAAAUCCAAGAAUGAAUAGAUUCUUUAAAAAUGACUCUGUGUAAUCUUUUCGUUUUCAGAGGAACGGGCCAGAAUCUACUCCUCAGACAGCGACGAGGGCUCGGAAGAAGACAAAGCUCAGAGGCUGCUCAAAGCAAAGAAGCUCAACAGUGACGAGGAAGGUGAGUCUUCUGGGAAGAGGAAAGCAGAGGACGAUGACAAGGCCAAUAAAAAGCAUAAGAAGUAUGUGAUCAGCGAUGAAGAGGAGGAGGAGGAUGACUGAAGCACAGACUGUGAAUGCAUUUAUGUAUUUAUUGUACAGCUUGUCUAUAAAUAUGAUGUAAACAUGAGUUAUUUUGAUUGAGAUUAAUUGAUCUGUGUUUGUGAAAUUUUAAUUGUAAUAAAACAUUUAAGGCAAGUCCCUAUGCCUAAGAAAACUGCUUUCCCCAGAAAAAACAUUUAAAAAGCAAGCUAACUUUUUAAGCAUUUUAGAGAGCCCAGGUUUGGUGGAUUUCCUGCUCUUUGCCAUCCGUUCUCUCCUUCCACACAAAGAUUUGUUUCCUAGGUCUGUCCUGAGGGUCCCAAGGUGGUUGGCUUCAAACAGUAAAACCUGGGCUGGAGAGAUGGCUCAGCAGCUGGGCGUUGACAAACAUGGUAGAGAUGACUCUCCCCAGACUUUCGGGUCGUCCGUAGGACUGAAGUGGGGGUGUACUGGUUAGUUUUGUGUGUCAACUUGACACAAGCUGAAGUUAUCUCAGAAAAGGAGCCUCAGUUGUAAAAAUGCCUUCAUGAGACCCAGGGCAUUUUCUCAACUGAUGAUCAAGGCGGGAGGACCCAGCCCAUUGAGGGCGGGUACCUGGGCUGGUGGUCUUGGGUUCUACUAGAGAGCAAGCUGAGUAAGCCAGGGGAAGCAAAUCAGUAACAUCCCUCCAUGGCCUCUGCAUCAGCUCCUGCUCCCUGCCCCACUUGAAUUUCAGACCUGACUUCCUUUGGUGAUGAAAGCAAUGUGGAAGUGUAAGCUGAAUAAACCCUUUCCUCCC
rnacentral:lncRNA from 1 species